rnacentral:pre_miRNA from 1 species
UUAAUUCAAAUUUGUAUGGAGUUUGAAACGUUUAACUACGUUUACCGUUAGGGGCGCUGUUCCAACUCCAUACAAGUUUGAGUUA